rnacentral:rRNA from 1 species
CCCGCCGGUCUCAUCAGAAUCUCUGUUUUCGAACCCGACGAUACUUCUGAGUGUUCUUAGCGAACUGUCAAAACUUUUAACAACGGAUCUCUUGGCUCCAGCAUCGAUGAAGAACGCAGCGAAACGCGAUAUGUAAUGUGAAUUGCAGAAUUCAGUGAAUCAUCGAAUCUUUGAACGCACAUGGCGCCUUCCAGUAUCCUGGGAGGCAUGCCUGUCCGAGCGUCGUUUCAACCCUCGAGCCCCUGUGGCCCGGCGUUGGGGAUCUGCCACGGCAGGCCCCUAAAACCAGUGGCGGACCCGAUGGGCCCUCUCCUUUACGUAGUAGCAUUCGCCUCGUAUUGGGAGUCCUCGGCGUCCUGCCUCUAAACCCCCCACAAGUCCGCUUCGGCGGCACCAAGGUGACCUCGGAUCAGGUAGGAAUACC